ensembl:lncRNA
AUGUUAUUCUUACUUUUUAAAUUGUGGCUAUUAGUCUUGUUUUCUUUUUCCUUCAUUUUCUCCUUUAUGGUUCGGUUACUGGUGCCACUUCUCACGCUAUCUUUAAGAAUAUCACUACCACUGAUACUGCAUUUCCUUCUUGAUUUGAUACUACUUUUUAUGCUUUCGUUACUACUAGUUUUAACACUACCUUUAUUACACCCAUUUUGUAUGUUACCUCUUACGCCACUACCUAUACCACUACUUAUACCACUACCUAUACCACUACUUAUACCACUACUUAUACCACUACUUAUACUACUACCUAUACCACUACUUAUACCACUACUUAUACUAUCGUUACUACUACUCUGAAUACUUUUGUUACUACUACCUUUGACACUAGCAGUACUACUGUUGUUAGCAGCUUGGUUUUGAUUUUCUACACCUCUUGAAACAACAAAAUCGUUUAACGUUUGAUUAUCAUUUACUAUUAUAUUUUUUUUUUUUUUUUUAAUACCUGUUAAACUUUUUUUUGUAGUUUCACUUACAGUGUUUUCUUUUUCAUCUUGUAGUACUCCCAUCAUUUUGUUAGUCAAAAGGCGUGUGUUGUUCUCAGAGUCCUUAUUAACACUACUCGUUAAUCUCUUUUUUGCCUUUUUAAUAUUACCUGUUUUAAUAGAUCCCGUUUUAAUAGAUCCCGUUUUAAUAGAUCCCGUUUUAAUAGGUCCCGUUUUAAUAGAUCCCGUUUUAAUAGAUCCCGUUUUAAUAGAUCCCAUUUUAAUAGUAUCCGUUUUAAUAGUACCAUUACUAUAGCUACCUGUACUACUGCUACAGCUUCCACUACUAUUUUCAGUUACUUUAUUAUUACGAGUGAUAAUAUUUUUUGAAGUUAUCUGUUUUUUUGAUUGAUUUGCACUAUAGUCCGUUUGAGAGGUUGCAACAUCAUUUACAGAAAAGCUACUAUUUUGCUUAGUUUCAUCACUAGACUGACUAAUUUGUUCUUCGACACGAUCCAUUUUUAGACCUUCCCAUUUUGUAGGUUUUAUUCCAUUUAACUGUGUUAAAAUGUCAUGUUUAUUUAUUAAUAUACCCUGACUGUUCAGAUAUUUACAUAUUAUUUUUUUUAAAUUAUGGUCUUUCGAUUCAUCAGAUAAAAUUAACUGUAUAAUUUCGUUUAAGUGCUUUAUUAAGUUAUCUAUAUCAUUGGGUAAUUUUAAUAUGUCAUUAAAUACAGAUGCAAAUUUUAUUGAUAGUAAUUCAAAUAAUAUUUUAUCUAUUGUUUCAGUUUUAUUACUAUUUAACAUAAUUAAAAUAAUAUUAUUAAAGUGUACAAUCAUUUUAAUAACUUUAUUAAAGUAAUUACUAUUUUUAACAUUCCUACUGAUUAUAUAAUUCUGAAUGUCGUUAACAGUUAUGUAUACUUCGUCUUCACCCGUUUCUUUUACAUUUACAUCUGAUACAUCUGCAUAUUUGUCACUCUUUUUAUCAACCUGAUUCAAACUAUAUUUAUAAAUACAAUCAAAUAACAAUUGUAUAUUUUCAAUCUGAACAUCGUAAUUUAAGUUAGUAAAAUAAUUUUUAAAAUGCUCUAAACUUAUUUUUUCUUCUUUUAUAUUUAAUAUAACUUUUAAAACAUUUUCUGUUAUAUAAUCAUUAUCAUCACCUUCUAAGUUUAACAAUUCACUAUCAUCUGUAUACUCUUCACUAACAGUAUUAUCCGACAAAUUUUCUGACAAUGACAACCCUUCUUCACAUUUUUUUUUUUCCAAAGUAUCUUUUUUAUUUCUGUUUAAAUAAUCACUUGUUUUGUGAUUGUUUUUGUUUUGUUCAAACAAUAUUUUUCUCUUAUCCGAAUGGUUUUGUUCAAUAUUGUUACUGGAACACUCGACAUUUAUAUUGUAACUUUCUUUUUCAUCUUUGACUAUAUUGUUUUGCUCUAACUUAUUAUCGUUACUGUCCUUGCUGUCUUUUUCGUUGGAUCUGGUUAUGUUAGAACCUAUUUUAUUAGAGCCUAUCUCAUUAGAACCUAUCUCAUUAGAACUUGUCUCAUUAGAACUUGUCUCAUUAGAACAUGUCCUAUUAGAACCAAUUUUAUUACUAUCUCCCCCUACGCUACUCAUAUUCUUCUCUAAGUUAGCACUCUUCUCUUCAUCGAUAUUAUUACCAGUUUUAUUUUCAUUUGUUUUAAAAUCAUAAUAUUUAGCUACAUUGGAAACAUCUAUUUUGUACUUAUUAAAAAUUUUAUCAAUUUCAUCCGAACUAUGUUUACUAUUAUUAUCCACAGAAUCAUUGUCACUACUUUCUUUUUCUGCAUUGUCAAUGUUUGUAUUGUAUACAUCUGUGUUAUAUUUGCAUUUACUAGAUGUACUCAUAUAAUCAUCAAAAUCUUUAUUACUAUUAUCUUUUUGCAAAUCUGGUUGUAUGGAAUCUGUACAUAUUUUAGAACCUAUAUUAUUUAAACCACAAUUUAAUUCGGAGUAUACAAUUUUUUUCGUUUCUUCAGAUAUAGAUGAUAUAUCUAUUACAUCUUCAUUAGAAGUAAAGAUGGACGUUUGCUUUUUUUUAGUAUUACUAUAUUUUAGGUCAUCUAACACUUUAUUACUGAGUGUUGCUUUUACUUCCUUUUUAUCAUUUUUUUGCAUAUCACUCUCGCAGGCUGACAUUUUAUGUACAUUUUCAUUCUCAUAUUUUGGUUUACUUCCAUAAACAUCAUCCUUUGUGUUAGCUUCUGUUUCAUAAUGUUGUUCGAUUUGCUCUCCACUACUAUUACUACCAUUACUAUUACUACCAUUACUAUUAUUAAUAUUUUGCUCUAUUCCUUUUUUUGCUAAAAUUAGAUCCUUCACAUCGUAGAUUUUUGCUUGUACACAGUCAGUAUUGGUUUUAUUAUAAUUCUCUAAGAAUGUUACAUCUUUAUUCCCUUUAAACAAAUCUGCCUGUUCUUGCUCUCGUUCACUUCUAGUUUGUUCAAUACUAUCUUGCUCAUCAGUUUCUGAAAUAUCUUCUUCUAGUAACUCACUUUCGCUUCUCAUUAUUUCUUUAUUAUACAACUGAUAAUAUUUUUGACAUACAUCAGUUGAAUAAGGACUUGAUUGAUCGUUAAAUAAAUUAUCAUUUUUAUAAUAGUCCA